CGAAAGAAAGACAGAAAGAAAAAGAGCGAAACCAAUUGUUUCUCCCUGUUUCCAGCUGCCGUAUUGCUUCCAUGGAUUCACUGAAAUUGAGCAUUCCUCAAGUGGGUUUGCAACGAAGCUUCAAUAUCUCUUUUUCCAAUCUGCCUAUGCCAUCAUCAAGGCUAAAAAUCACAUGUGGGUUGAGAAAGAUUGGACCAAGAAAACCAAUGUGGAGGUCAAGGGUGUUGUCUCCGGAAGCCAUACAAGCUGUCCAGUCUUUGAAAUUAGCAAGAUCUCCAGACAAAUUAGCAGAGGUCUUUGCUAAUAGGAUAAGCAGGCUUCUGAAGGCUGACUUGUUGGAUACUUUAUCAGAGCUGCAAAGGCAAAACGAAGUAGAAUUAGCCCUUCAGGUGUUUAAUUUUGCAAGAAAAGAAGUUUGGUAUGAACCGGAUAUAUCUAUUUUCAGUGACAUGAUCCUGAUGUUGGGAAAGAGUAGCAAUAUUGAAAUGGCUGAACAGCUUUUUGGUGAGAUAGAGAAAGAAGGCCUAAGGCCUGACACCAGAACAUACACUGAGAUGAUUGGAGCAUAUUUCCGUGCCAAAAUGAUAGAAAAGGCAAUGGAGUCAUAUGAAUCAAUGAAGGGAUCAGGUUGUAUUCCUGACAAGCUAACAUUCAGGAUCUUGAUAAAGAACCUUGAAAAAUCUGGCGAAAAAGAACUUAUAGCUACAGUGAAGAAAGAUUGUCUUACCUAUAUUGAGUACCCUGAGAAAUUUCUUGAAGAGGUUGAAAAGACAUAUCCAAAGCGAAGGUUACUCAACGUUGUUUGAAGAUAUGUAGCAUCUUUCAACCAUGCCGUCCUUCGUGCUACCUUGAAUUUCACAAUCCUCGGAGCUGGAUGAAGCUCGUCACCACGGCCAGUUACCUUGAGAUAGUUGCUGCCAGCUUAUUGGCGUAUGAGCUGGCAAUUCUUACCUUGACUGGAAUGCAAGCUCCUUUUCAGCUUCUUCCACCCUACCCAAAAAUUGCCUCUUUGCUCUCCUAGUCCAUCCCGGAUAACUGGAGAGCAUUCCCAUAUUGCUUCAGCACCAGGGCCAAGAAUAACAGCAUGCUCAAUUGAUUCUUUACCUUCCCCGUAUCCUUGACAGAUUAGGUUGCUUGCCUGGUUCUGCUAUGUAUUACAGCGUUGACUGGGAGGAUCUGCUGCAGAUACUUCCAAAUAAAUGACUUAAUCUUAUGUUUGAUAUUAGGCUUCCAUAAGAAGUUGCAUAUCUUGAAGCUCCGUCCUUUCAUGCUAGGUUC